CUAACACAUGCACAGUCGAACGGUAACAGGAAACAGCUUGCUGUUUCGCUGACGAGUGGCGGACGGGUGAGUAAUGUCUGGGAAACUGCCUGAUGGAGGGGGAUAACUACUGGAAACGGUAGCUAAUACCGCAUAACGUCGCAAGACCAAAGAGGGGGACCCUCGGGCCUCUUGCCAUCGGAUGUGCCCAGAUGGGAUUAGCUUGUUGGUGGGGUAACGGCUCACCAAGGCGACGAUCCCUAGCUGGUCUGAGAGGAUGACCAGCCACACUGGAACUGAGACACGGUCCAGACUCCUACGGGAGGCAGCAGUGGGGAAUAUUGCACAAUGGGCGCAAGCCUGAUGCAGCCAUGCCGCGUGUAUGAAGAAGGCCUUCGGGUUGUAAAGUACUUUCAGCGGGGAGGAAGGGAGUAAAGUUAAUACCUUUGCUCAUUGACGUUACCCGCAGAAGAAGCACCGGCUAACUCCGUGCCAGCAGCCGCGGUAAUACGGAGGGUGCAAGCGUUAAUCGGAAUUACUGGGCGUAAAGCGCACGCAGGCGGUUUGUUAAGUCAGAUGUGAAAUCCCCGGGCUCAACCUGGGAACUGCAUCUGAUACUGG
rnacentral:rRNA from 1 species